GCCCAGAUAGCUCAGUCGGUAGAGCAGGGGAUUGAAAAUCCCCGUGUCGGUGGUUCGAUUCCGCCUCUGGGCACCA
rnacentral:tRNA from 130 species